AAAGAUGACAAAAAUGCUUGCCGAAGUGCUGGUGGUUGUCAAUGAACUGUCAAGGGAUGUGCAGUUCAUCAAGGGUGAAUUGGCAGAGGCUAGAAUGACCCCAUCUUGUGGACCAGGGCCAGCCACAAGCCAAGAGAUGUUCCCCAUCCAGCUGCCUAACACCAACGAAGAUGACUUCAAUGAGGCCGAAACGUUGUUGGGAACUGAGCCAGUCCGACAAAAGAUGAUUGCCCGCUUGGCCUUGGUGGGAGGCACUAGCUCCACAUGUAUGGUAAGCAGGAUGCUUGCACCGGUUUUGACCAACGGCCUGGCCUGCAAGUUCAAUUGGGCAGGAAAAACCUGCACACAAAGGGAUGCCAAGCAGCCCUUCAAAGACACAGCCCUGCAAGACUGCAUGUUUGUUGCUUCUCGGCAGUGUGACCGCAAACUCACACAGCAGGCCUUCAGCGACAUUGUAAAAAAUUGGCUACGUUACGCCCCUUGGCGUGCAGGAGGCAUCAAGAAAAAGUAGAUGUAGGUGAAUUUGAUAUUC